AGCGAACGCUGGCGGCAGGCUUAACACAUGCAAGUCGAGCGGGCGUAGCAAUACGUCAGCGGCAGACGGGUGAGUAACGCGUGGGAACGUACCUUUUGGUUCGGAACAACACAGGGAAACUUGUGCUAAUACCGGAUAAGCCCUUACGGGGAAAGAUUUAUCGCCGAAAGAUCGGCCCGCGUCUGAUUAGCUAGUUGGUGUGGUAACGGCGCACCAAGGCGACGAUCAGUAGCNGGUCUGAGAGGAUGAUCAGCCACAUUGGGACUGAGACACGGCCCAAACUCCUACGGGAGGCAGCAGUGGGGAAUAUUGGACAAUGGGCGAAAGCCUGAUGCAGCGACGUCGCGUGGAGGAUGAAGUCUUCGGGACGUAACUCCUUUUACCAGGAAGAAGAAUGUGACGGUACCUGGNGAAUAAGCCCCGGGCUAACUACGUGCCAGCAGCCGCCGC
rnacentral:rRNA from 1 species